rnacentral:rRNA from 1 species
CCCUUAGAUGUUCUGGGCCGCACGCGCGCUACACUGACGAAUUCAACGAGCUUAUAACCUUGGCCGAAAGGUCUAGGUAAUCUCCAAAAUUCGUCGUGAUGGGGAUAGAUUAUUGCAAUUAUUAAUCUUCAACGAGGAAUGCCUAGUAAGCGCAAGUCAUCAGCUUGCGUUGAUUACGUCCCUGCCCUUUGUACACACCGCCCGUCGCUCCUACCGAUUGAAUGAUUUAGUGAGGACUUCGGACUGGGACCGAUGCGGCUUUCGGGCUGCGUCGGUAUUCUGGAAAGAUGUCCAAACUGUAUCAUUUAGAGGAAGUAAAAGUCGUAACA